GACGAACGCUGGCGGCGUGCUUAACACAUGCAAGUCGAACGGAAAGGCCCUGCUUUUGUGGGGUGCUCGAGUGGCGAACGGGUGAGUAACACGUGAGUAACCUGCCCUUGACUUUGUGAUAACUUCAGGAAACUGGGGCUAAUACCGGCUAGGAGCUCCUGCUGCAUGGUGGGGGUUGGAAAGUUUCGGCGGUUGGGGCUGGACUCGCGGCUUAUCAGCUUGUGGGUGGGGGAGUGGCUUACCAAGGCUUCGACGGGUAGCCGGCCUGAGAGGGGGAACGGCCACAAUGGGACUGCGGUACGGCCCAGACUCCUACGGGAGGCAGCAGUGGGAAAUAUUGCACAAUGGGCGGAAGCCUGAUGCGACAGCGCCGCGUGCGGGAUGACGGCCUUCGGGUUGUAAACCGCUUUCGCCUGUGACGAAGCGUGAGUGACGGUAAUGGGUAAAGAAGCACCGGCUAACUACGUG
rnacentral:rRNA from 1 species